GAUGAACGCUAGCGGGAGGCCUAACACAUGCAAGCCGAGCGGUAUUUGUCUUUCGGGACAGAGAGAGCGGCGUACGGGUGCGGAACACGUGUGCAACCUGCCUUUAUCUGGGGGAUAGCCUUUCGAAAGGAAGAUUAAUACCCCAUAAUAUAAUGAAUGGCAUCAUUUAUUAUUGAAAACUCCGGUGGAUAGAGAUGGGCACGCGCAAGAUUAGAUAGUUGGUGAGGUAUCGGCUCACCAAGUCGAUGAUCUUUAGGGGGCCUGAGAGGGUGAGCCCCCACACUGGUACUGAGACACGGACCAGACUCCUACGGGAGGCAGCAGUGCGGAAUAUUGGACAAUGGGUUAGCGCCUGAUCCAGCCAUCCCGCGUGAAGGACGACGGCCCUAUGGGUUGUAAACUUCUUUUGUACAGGGAUAAACCUACUCUCGUGAUAGUAGCUGAAGGUACUGUACGAAUAAGCACCGGCUAACUCCGUGCCAGCCGCCGCGGUAA
rnacentral:rRNA from 1 species